rnacentral:lncRNA from 1 species
GUUUGACAGUGUUUUACUGUAUGACAAAAGGAGUUCUAUGUUUUUCAUAUGGUGUUAUUAACUGUGUUGCACGAUGACAACCAAUCUGAGCAUUUGGAGUGUUAUUUAUUUAAUAUCCUUUUUUAUGAGGCAUGGAGGAAACAGUAAUUGCAUUAGUUACCAAAUGAUUAUGAUAGAAUAUGUUCUACAUCUUUGAUUUUGGAUACAUUUUGUAGCUAGGAGAGCAACACAUAAUAGGUGUAUCUGUUCACGUUUUUUUAUUUUUUCUAAAUGGGAGAUGAUAUCUAGAUUUGAGAACAUGAUAUAAGGAGCCUGUAAUUCAGUGGUUGUCGUUUGUUUAUGUGUUACAUAUUCGUUUUUUGUUUAUUUUUUUAACAUAAAUAAUGCCAUUAUUUUUCUUGUUUGAAUUGUUUUACAUUUGUCAUUUCCGGGC